rnacentral:rRNA from 1 species
CGAAGAACCUUACCUACUCUUGACAUCCAGAGAACUUAGCAGAGAUGCUUUGGUGCCUUCGGGAACUCUGAGACAGGUGCUGCAUGGCUGUCGUCAGCUCGUGUUGUGAAAUGUUGGGUUAAGUCCCGCAACGAGCGCAACCCUUAUCCUUUGUUGCCAGCGGUUCGGCCGGGAACUCAAAGGAGACUGCCAGUGAUAAACUGGAGGAAGGUGGGGAUGACGUCAAGUCAUCAUGGCCCUUACGAGUAGGGCUACACACGUGCUACAAUGGCAUAUACAAAGAGAAGCGACCUCGCGAGAGCAAGCGGACCUCACAAAGUAUGUCGUAGUCCGGAUCGGAGUCUGCAACUCGACUCCGUGAAGUCGGAAUCGCUAGUAGUGUGUAGAUC